rnacentral:rRNA from 2 species
CAUGGUUGUCGUCAGCUCGUGUCGUGAGAUGUUGGGUUAAGUCCCGCAACGAGCGCAACCCUUAAGCUUAGUUGCCAUCAUUAAGUUGGGCACUCUAAGUUGACUGCCGGUGACAAACCGGAGGAAGGUGGGGAUGACGUCAAAUCAUCAUGCCCCUUAUGAUUUGGGCUACACACGUGCUACAAUGGACAAUACAAAGGGUAGCGAAACCGCGAGGUCAAGCAAAUCCCAUAAAGUUGUUCUCAGUUCGGAUUGUAGUCUGCAACUCGACUACAUGAAGCUGGAAUCGCUAGUAAUCGUAGAUCAGCAUGCUACGGUGAAUACGUUCCCGGGUCUUGUACACACCGCCCGUCACACCACGAGAGUUUGUAACACCCGAAGCCGGUGGAGUAACCUUUUAGGAGCUAGCCGUCGAAGGUGGGACAAAUGAUUGGGGUGAAGUCGUAACAAGGUAGCCGUAUCGGAAGGUGCGGCUGGAUCACCUCCUUUCUAAGGAUAUAUUAGGAAC